UACGUAGGGCGCAAGCGUUGUCCGGAAUUAUUGGGCGUAAAGAGCUCGUAGGCGGUCUGUCGCGUCGGAUGUGAAAGCCCGGGGCUUAACCCCGGGUCUGCAUUCGAUACGGGCAGACUAGAGUGUUGCAGGGGAGACUGGAAUUCCUGGUGUAGCGGUGAAAUGCGCAGAUAUCAGGAGGAACACCGGUGGCGAAGGCGGGUCUCUGGGCAACAACUGACGCUGAGGAGCGAAAGCGUGGGGAGCGAACAGG
rnacentral:rRNA from 1 species